rnacentral:rRNA from 1 species
UACGUAGGGUGCGAGCGUUACUCGGAAUUACUGGGCGUAAAGCGUGCGUAGGUGGUGAGUUAAGUCUGUCGUGAAAGCCCCGGGCUCAACCUGGGAAUGGCGAUGGAUACUGGCUCGCUAGAGUGCGGUAGAGGAGAGUGGAAUUCCGGUGUAGCAGUGAAAUGCGUAGAGAUCGGGAGGAACAUCUGUGGCGAAGGCGACUGCCUGGACCAGCACUGGACACUGAGCACGAAAGCGUGGGGAGCAACAGG